CCUACGGGUGGCUGCAGUCGAGACUCAUUCACAAUGGGGGAAACCCUGAUGGUGCGACGCCGCGUGGGGGAAUGAAGGUCUUCGGAUUGUAAACCCCUGUCAUGUGGGAGCAAAUUAAAAAGAUAGUACCACAAGCGGAAGAGACGGCUAACUCUGUGCCAGCAGCCGCGGUAAUACAGAGGUCUCAAGCGUUGUUCGGAAUCACUGGGCGUAACGCGUGCGUAGGCUGUUUCGUAAGGCGUGUGUGAAAGGCGCGGGCUCAACCCGCGGACGGCACAUGAUCCUGCGAGACCAGAGUAAUGGAGGGGUGAACGGAAUGCGCGGGGGAGCAGUUGAAUGCGUAG
rnacentral:rRNA from 1 species